rnacentral:rRNA from 1 species
CCUACGGGGUGCUGCAGUGGGGAAUAUUGGACAAUGGGCGAAAGCCUGAUCCAGCCAUGCCGCGUGUGUGAAGAAGGCCUUCGGGUUGUAAAGCACUUUCAGUGGGGAAGAAAGCCUUGGGGCUAAUACCCUCGAGGAAGGACAUCACCCACAGAAGAAGCACCGGCUAACUCCGUGCCAGCAGCCGCGGUAAUACGGAGGGUGCGAGCGUUAAUCGGAAUUACUGGGCGUAAAGCGCGCGUAGGCGGUCUGAUAAGCCGGUUGUGAAAGCCCCGGGCUCAACCUGGGAACGGCAUCCGGAACUGUCAGGCUAGAGUGCAGGAGAGGAAGGUAGAAUUCCCGGUGUAGCGGUGAAAUGCGUAGAGAUCGGGAGGAAUACCAGUGGCGAAGGCGGCCUUCUGGACUGACACUGACGCUGAGGUGCGAAAGCAUGGGUAGCAAACAGGAUUAGAUACCCGUGUAGUC